CUGCUGCACAAAUUGGCAGCUCUCAAAGUGAAUUGUUUAUCUUUUUUUUUUUGCAAAUUUCAAAUCCAUUGACACAUUUUCCAACAAGUUGGCAGCACAGCGUAGAGAGGAAGAAAAAGAGUGUUCUUCAGUUUUUAGUUUUUCCACAGCGACGUGUAUGGCAAACGAAAUGACAACUAAAGACAGCGUCGCACGACUUGUGACCAAAGCACAAAUCACUGAGAACACUUUUUUUUCUUUUUUUUUUUUGCUGCCGUCUUUUUUAUUGGCCACGCCCCCUGCCCCGGUCACCUCCCCUGGCAA